rnacentral:rRNA from 1 species
UAUUGCCUACGGGACGCAGCAGUGGGGAAUAUUGCACAAUGGGGGGAACCCUGAUGCAGCGACGCCGCGUGGGUGAAGGAGUAUUUCGGUAUGUAAAGCCCUAUCAGCAGGGAAGAACAAUGACGGUACCUGACUAAGAAGCCCCGGCUAACUACGUGCCAGCAGCCGCGGUAAUACGUAGGGGGCAAGCGUUAUCCGGAUUUACUGGGUGUAAAGGGAGCGUAGGCGGUGAUGCAAGUCAGAAGUGAAAGCCCGCAGCUCAACUGCGGGACUGCUUUUGAAACUGUAUGACUAGGUUGCAGGAG